rnacentral:tRNA from 1 species
GGCUCUGUGGCGCAAUGGAUAGCGCAUUGGACUUCUAAUUCAAAGGUUGUGGGUUCGAAUCCCAUCAGGGUCG